UUCUGAUUGGCAGACUCAUUCACAUGCAUUCAGAGCUCAUGAAUUUUACUUAACACGUCCUCCUAUUGCUUAUUGGCUGGGUUUUAAUUGGAGUGAUGUAUUGCGGAUCUGCUAGAUGAAGUGGAACAGUUUCUCCUUCUCUUUUCCCUUAGUUUAAGUGGCCCUUUUCUUUCAAACCACCUCGUCAGAGAUGCUUCAGGCUAAUUAUUAAUAUAUGGAAGCUCCGCAAAGCCUUGUGACCAUGGGAGUCCAUUAUAGUCCACUAAAGUCACUUUCUCAAGCUCUGGAAAUACGUUGCAUCUUGCAUUUGUUUGCCUCAUAGCUGGUUACAGCAUUACUAUACCCGUCUCUUUUUCCUACCCAAGGGGGACUGAAGAAGCUCACCCAUCUAAGGAAGUAGUGAGGGAUUCCUUGGUUGACAGCCUGUUGUGACCAGUCGCCAGAAGCUUCAUAGAGAGAUAACAAGGGAGUUUCAGAAGGUGUGGUGUGCAAAUUAAUUCCAAGUGGCAAAACUGGAUCUGACAAGGUGAACUGAAGAGAUGAACAAUACUAGGAGUCAGAAGGUCCCCUGUCCUUUUUUUCCUCCUUA